rnacentral:rRNA from 1 species
UUAAGCGACUAAGCGUACACGGUGGAUGCCCUGGCAGUCAGAGGCGAUGAAGGACGUGCUAAUCUGCGAAAAGCGCCGGCGAGGUGAUAUGAACCUUUGACCCGGCGAUGUCCGAAUGGGGAAACCCAGUGCAAUCCGUUGCACUAUCGUUAACUGAAUACAUAGGUUAACGAGGCGAACCGGGGGAACUGAAACAUCUAAGUACCCCGAGGAAAAGAAAUCAACCGAGAUUCCCCCAGUAGCGGCGAGCGAACGGGGAGCAGCCCGGAGUCUGAAUCAGCUUGUGUGUUAGUGGAACGGUCUGGAAAGUCCGACGGUACAGGGUGAUAGUCCCGUACACGAAAGCACACUUGCUGUGAACUCGAAGAGUAGGGCGGGACACGUGGUAUCCUGUCUGAAUAUGGGGGGACCAUCCUCCAAGGCUAAAUACUCCUGACUGACCGAUAGUGAACCAGUACCGUGAGGGAAAGGCGAAAAGAACCCCGGCGAGGGGAGUGAAAAAGAACCUGAAACCGUGUACGUACAAGCAGUGGGAGCCUCUUUAUGGGGUGACUGCGUACCUUUUGUAUAAUGGGUCAGCGACUUAUAUUCUGUAGCAAGGUUAACCGUAUAGGGGAGCCGAAGGGAAACCGAGUCUUAACUGGGCGUUAAGUUGCAGGGUAUAGACCCGAAACCCGGUGAUCUAGCCAUGGGCAGGUUGAAGGUUGGGUAACACUAACUGGAGGACCGAACCGACUAAUGUUGAAAAAUUAGCGGAUGACCUGUGGCUGGGGGUGAAAGGCCAAUCAAACCGGGAGAUAGCUGGUUCUCCCCGAAAGCUAUUUAGGUAGCGCCUCGUGAACUCAUCUUCGGGGGUAGAGCACUGUUUCGGCUAGGGGGCCAUCCCGGCUUACCAACCCGAUGCAAACUACGAAUACCGAAGAAUGUUAUCACGGGAGACACACGGCGGGUGCUAACGUCCGUCGUGAAGAGGGAAACAACCCAGACCGCCAGCUAAGGUCCCAAAGUCAUGGUUAAGUGGGAAACGAUGUGGGAAGGCACAGACAGCCAGGAUGUUGGCUUAGAAGCAGCCAUCAUUUAAAGAAAGCGUAAUAGCUCACUGGUCGAGUCGGCCUGCGCGGAAGAUGUAACGGGGCUAAACCAUGCACCGAAGCUGCGGCAGCGACGCUUAGGCGUUGUUGGGUAGGGGAGCGUUCUGUAAGCCGUUGAAGGUGUCCUGUGAGGGGUGCUGGAGGUAUCAGAAGUGCGAAUGCUGACAUAAGUAACGAUAAAGCGGGUGAAAAGCCCGCUCGCCGGAAGACCAAGGGUUCCUGUCCAACGUUAAUCGGGGCAGGGUGAGUCGACCCCUAAGGCGAGGCCGAAAGGCGUAGUCGAUGGGAAACAGGUUAAUAUUCCUGUACUUGGUGUUACUGCGAAGGGGGGACGGAGAAGGCUAUGUCAGCCGGGCGACGGUUGUCCCGGUUUAAGCAUGUAGGCGGAGGUUCCAGGUAAAUCCGGUACCUUGUUAACGCUGAGGUGUGAUGACGAGGCACUACGGUGCUGAAGUGAUAAAUGCCCUGCUUCCAGGAAAAGCCUCUAAGCAUCAGGUAACACGAAAUCGUACCCCAAACCGACACAGGUGGUCAGGUAGAGAAUACCAAGGCGCUUGAGAGAACUCGGGUGAAGGAACUAGGCAAAAUGGUGCCGUAACUUCGGGAGAAGGCACGCUGAUGUGUAGGUGAAGUCCCUGCGGACGGAGCUGAAAUCAGUCGAAGAUACCAGCUGGCUGCAACUGUUUAUUAAAAACACAGCACUGUGCAAACACGAAAGUGGACGUAUACGGUGUGACGCCUGCCCGGUGCCGGAAGGUUAAUUGAUGGGGUUAGCGGCAACGCGAAGCUCUUGAUCGAAGCCCCGGUAAACGGCGGCCGUAACUAUAACGGUCCUAAGGUAGCGAAAUUCCUUGUCGGGUAAGUUCCGACCUGCACGAAUGGCGUAAUGAUGGCCAGGCUGUCUCCACCCGAGACUCAGUGAAAUUGAACUCGCUGUGAAGAUGCAGUGUACCCGCGGCAAGACGGAAAGACCCCGUGAACCUUUACUAUAGCUUGACACUGAACACUGGUCCUUGAUGUGUAGGAUAGGUGGGAGGCUUUGAAGCGUGGACGCCAGUCUGCGUGGAGCCAACCUUGAAAUACCACCCUUUAAUGGCUGGUGUUCUAACGUAGACCCGUAAUCCGGGUUGCGGACAGUGUCUGGUGGGUAGUUUGACUGGGGCGGUCUCCUCCCAAAGAGUAACGGAGGAGCACGAAGGUUGGCUAAUCCUGGUCGGACAUCAGGAGGUUAGUGCAAUGGCAUAAGCCAGCUUGACUGCGAGCGUGACGGCGCGAGCAGGUGCGAAAGCAGGUCAUAGUGAUCCGGUGGUUCUGAAUGGAAGGGCCAUCGCUCAACGGAUAAAAGGUACUCCGGGGAUAACAGGCUGAUACCGCCCAAGAGUUCAUAUCGACGGCGGUGUUUGGCACCUCGAUGUCGGCUCAUCACAUCCUGGGGCUGAAGUAGGUCCCAAGGGUAUGGCUGUUCGCCAUUUAAAGUGGUACGCGAGCUGGGUUUAGAACGUCGUGAGACAGUUCGGUCCCUAUCUGCCGUGGGCGCUGGAGAAUUGAGGGGGGCUGCUCCUAGUACGAGAGGACCGGAGUGGACGCAUCACUGGUGUUCGGGUUGUCAUGCCAAUGGCACUGCCCGGUAGCUAAAUGCGGAAGAGAUAAGUGCUGAAAGCAUCUAAGCACGAAACUUGCCCCGAGAUGAGUUCUCCCUGAGACUUUAAGUCUCCUGAAGGAACGUUGAAGACGACGACGUUGAUAGGUCGGGUGUGUAAGCGCAGCGAUGCGUUGAGCUAACCGAUACUAAUGAACCGUGAGGCUUAACCUU